CUCUACGAUACUCAACUGCUCCUCCUCCGGAGUACACCUCUAGAUCAUACCAUUAGUAGAGAUCUUAUACAAGUACGACUUAUCCCAAUAGAAGUCCAAACUAUCACGUUUAAGCUUCUUUAUUUGGUUAGAAGAGAGCUCACAUGGGACAUUACCAGUCACAAGGAAAUUAGCAAAGUUCACAAACCAUGGCAUACAUUCAUCGACAUAGAAAGAAGUUGCUCAUCA
rnacentral:lncRNA from 1 species